AAAAAAUACUUAAAAAUGGUGGGAGCGAAACCAAUGCCUGGCUCGGAGCAGCAGCUGCUGAGGUGUCCCUGGCCGGUGUCCUUCCACCUGUCCACAAGCAUGGGGAACAUCUUCGCCAACCUCUUCAAGGGCCUUUUUGGCAAAAAGGAAAUGCGCAUCCUUAUGGUGGGCCUGGAUGCUGCAGGGAAGACCACGAUCCUGUACAAGCUAAAGCUGGGUGAGAUUGUGACCACCUUUCCCACCAUAGGCUUCAAUGUGGAAACCGUGGAGUACAAGAACAUCAGCUUCACUGUGUGGGACAUGGGUGGCCAGGACAAGAUCCGGCCUCUGUGGCGCCACUACUUCCAGAACACACAAGGCCUGAUCUUCAUGGUGGACAGCAAUGACAAGAGAGCACGUGAACGAGGCCUGUGAGGAGCUCAUGAGGAUGCUGGCUGAGGAUGUGCUCCGGGAUGCUGCCCUCCCGGUGUUCGCCAACAAGCAGGACCUCCCCAACGCCAUGAAUGCGGCCGAGAUCAGAGACAAGCUGGGGCUGCACUCCCUAUGCCACAGGAACUGGUACAUUCAGGCCACCUGCACCACCAGCGCAACAGGCUCUAUGAAGGACUGGACUGGCUGUCCAAUCAGCUUUGGAACCAGAAGUGAAUGUGACCCCCCUCUCUCUCACUCCUCUUACCCUCUGCUUUACUCUCAUGUGGCAAACUUGCGGCUCGUGAUGUGAGUGCCAGAAGCUUCCUCCGUGGUUUGGUCACCUUGUGCAUUGCACCAUUCUGUAAAUGUUGCAGAUGCAGCCUGUGGCCAGGCUUUUUAUUUAAUGUAAAUAGUUUUUGUUUCCAGUAAGCAGUUUCUGGUACUCCUAUGCAAUAUUACUCAGCUUUUUUUUAUUGUAAAAGAAAAAUCAACACACUGUUCAGUGCUGAGAGGGGAUGGAGGCCUGUGGGCACCUGGCCUGCAAGAGUCACUGUGUUGGGAAAGCCGGGCACGCUCUUGGCUUUAGAGCCGUGUUGAAAUCCAUUUUGGUGGUUGGUUUUUAACCCAAACUCAUUGCAUUUUUUUAAAUAGUU